CUCUGUGGGGAGCAGCUCCUCUGGGAUGGCCCUGGCAGAGCAGAGGAACCUUCAGCAUGUGGGACUGUGGCUUCUCCUGCCCUGAUUCCUGAUGCCCACUGUCCCCUCCCCAGGGUGCCCAGCGCCUGUCACUCUGCUCCUGUCUGUGGCUUUUUGCUGUGAAAGCCACGCCUGGUUCCCAGCCCUGCAGUUUGGCUCCGAGCAUCUCCCUUCCCUUCUCCUGUUGGCUGCAUUCCAGUGGUUGUGGCUUGAGGCGUCCCGGAGAGGACGGGGAGCAGCCACAGGGGCAAACGCUCCCCUCUGGAGCAGAAGAGGCUUCGUGGGGGUGGCAGGCACCCCGGGGUGGCUGUGACAGCUGGAGGUGUGGGAGGUGGCAGCUGACCCAUCAGGGACACCUUUACCUGCAGUGAUGAGAAGUUCUUGGGAAGUGGCAGCACAAGAGGCUGCAGGACCCUCACUGACCUGCCUGUGACCAUUGCUGUGACCAUCGCUGUGACCCUGCCUGUGACCCUGCCUGUGACCAUCGCUGUGACCCCGCCUGUGACCAUCGCUGUGACCCCGCCUGUGACCAUUGCUGUGACAAUUGCUGUGACCCCGCCUGUGACCAUUGCUGUGACCACUGCUGUGACCCUCCCUGUGGCCAUUGCUGUGACAAUCGCUGUGACCAUUGCUGUGACCAUUGCCGUGACUGUGCCUGUGACCCUCCCUGUGACCAUUGCUGUGACCCUUCCUGUGACCCUCCCAGCCCCGGGAGCUGAGACUGGCUGAGCACAGCCGUGGCAGCAGCAAGGGCUCAGCUGAGCUCCCCCAGCCGCAUCCCUCGGGGCUGUCCCCGUGUCCCUGCACUGACGGAGGGACAAAGGGGGUGCUGCUGUCCCCGUGUCCCUGCACUGACGGAGGGACAAAGGGGGUGCUGCUGUCCCCGUGUCCCUGCACUGACAGAGGGACAAAGGGGGUGCUGCUGUCCCCGUGUCCCUGCACUGACAGAGGGACAAAGGGCGUGCUGCUGUCCCCGUGUCCUCCCUGUGCCCAGGGCAGCAGCACUGGGCUGGAUCCCGGAUCCAGGGCUGGAUCCACACCACUGCCAUCCCCAGCAGGACGGGGCUGUUCCAGGGAGCUGCGAGGGAGAUCGGUUUGGGCUGGUUACAAGGAAUGAAUGAUGAUUUUCCUCCUUGUAUCCUUGAUGCCGUUCGUGUGGCACAGCUGGUGCGGGUCGGGGGGAGGCUGCAGUGGCUGGGGCACGGUGCUGGGGACACUGCCACGGCCUGUCCCUGGCUGUGGCACACCCGUGCCUC